rnacentral:rRNA from 1 species
CUAAGGUAGCAUAGUCAUUUGUUAUUUAAUUGAUAACUGGAAUGAAAGGUUAAACUAGCUUAUUAGGUUUGUAACACUAAAUAGAAGCUUAAAGUUAAGGUAAAAAUUCUUUAAUUUUCUAGGGGACGAUAAGACCCUAGAAGCUUGAUAAGUGGAGUGGUUAGUUUUAGAAAUCUUUUUGUUUUACUGGGGCGGUAAAAAUAAUUAAACUAUUUAUUAUUUAAAGGAUCCUUAAAAUAAAGAUAGAAUGGGUAAGUUACUCUAGGGAUAA